AACGCUGGCGGCGUGCCUAACACAUGCAAGUCGAACGGAGAUAGACGCUGACGAGACUCGGUCAAAUCUUGUUAAUCUUAGUGGCGGACGGGUGAGUAACGCGCGGGCAACCUGCCUCAUACUGGGGGAUAGCAGUUGGAAACGACUGAUAAUACCGCAUAAGCGCACAGCAUCGCAUGAUGCAGUGUGAAAAAACUCCGGUGGUAUGAGAUGGGCCCGCGUCAGAUUAGCUAGUUGGUGAGGUAACGGCUCACCAAGGCGACGAUCUGUAGCCGGACUGAGAGGUCGGACGGCCACAUUGGGACUGAGACACGGCCCAAACUCCUACGGGAGGCAGCAGUGGGGGAUAUUGUACAAUGGAGGAAACUCUGAUGCAGCGACGCCGCGUGAGUGAAGAAGUAUUUCGGUAUGUAAAGCUCUAUCAGCAGGGAAGAAAGGCCCGCAAGGGAGAUGACGGUACCUGACUAAGAAGCCCCGGCUAACUACGUGCCAGCCGCUGC
rnacentral:rRNA from 1 species